rnacentral:rRNA from 1 species
GUAGGGGGCAAGCGUUGUCCGGAAUUAUUGGGCGUAAAGCGCGCGCAGGCGGUUCUUUAAGUCUGAUGUGAAAUCUUGUGGCUCAACCACAAGCGGUCAUUGGAAACUGGGGAACUUGAGUACAGAAGAGGAGAGUGGAAUUCCACGUGUAGCGGUGAAAUGCGUAGAUAUGUGGAGGAACACCAGUGGCGAAGGCGACUCUCUGGUCUGUAACUGACGCUGAGGCGCGAAAGCGUGGGGGGAGCAAACAGGAUUAGAUACCCUGGUAGUCCACGCCGUAAACGAUGAGUGCUAGGUGUUAGGGGGUUUCCGCCCCCCCCUUAGUGCUGCAGCUAACGCAUUAAGCACUCCGCCUGGGGAGUACGGCCGCAAGGCUG